rnacentral:lncRNA from 1 species
AAAAAACACUAAUUGAUGGGUUAAUUUUGGGAAUCUUAUAUUUACCUUUGCUCAGAGAAAAGUCUACCUCUUUAAAAUUUUUUUUAGUGUUUAUUUUAUUAUUUUUGAGAGAGAGAGAGAGAGAGUACAAGCAGGGUAGGGGCAGAGAGAGAGGGAGUCAUAGAAUCCAAAGCAGGCUCCAGGCUCUGAGCUGUCAGCACAGAGCCUGAUUCAGGGCUUGAAUUCACAAACCAUGAGAUCAUGACCUGAACUGAAGUCGGAUGCUCAACAACUGAGCCACCCAGGUGCCCUAAAAGUCUACCUCUUCUAUGUAUUUACAAUCUGAGGGAGACACACUGAGGCAGAUAGACACCAAAAGGAAGUAGACACAACUAAUUAACAAACACUGGAUAAACACAAAUAGAUAAGAGUAAAUAUUGGCUUCGAAUUCUAUCACAUUUCACAGAAGAGAACCUUGUUCCCACAGACAGAGAGCCAUCAUUAUGUCCCAGCAUCCCUCGAUUCCGCAGGGAUUGAAAGUCCCCAAGGAAAUGUGAUGUGACCUGUGAUGUACCAUUUUGGACCAGUCAGAAGGUGUGAAGGGCUUCUAGGACUUUGUUUAAAAGGGCCAAUGGAAAUGAGGAAGGAGGAGAGGCAGUGUUUUGGCCCCUGAUUGGUCGAAGAGAGUGACAAAAUGGAGAAAAGGAGGAAAGAACCAUCAAAUCCUGCAGCUGCAUCUGGAAGAAGAAGACUAAGAUGUUCCAGGUUUAAUUACCAGAAUGUGGGAGGCGACCUUGGAAGAGCAGUUCCAGGAGCUGAAUGCCUGGAUAUCGAAGAAAGAGAGUCAUGCACAGAGCUAAGUCAGACCGCAAAAGAGAACAAAGCUGUGGCAACAGGGAGACUCCUCAAGUUCUUUCUGUCUAUGGACUUCAAAGUUCCAUUUGUUCAGAAGGAGACCAAUUUUGGGUCAGAGGUUGUUUCUGAGCAUGCAGUGAAGGUAAGACAGAGCGUGAGUAGUUAAAUAUGCAUGAAAACUGGGUAUGUCCUACAGUUACUCAAGUUCAAAGGGGCAUCUGCUUUGAGCACUCUUCCUUUGAAGUGGAAGCUGGUCCCUGAUGCCAGCUUUCUGUGUUCCCAAAAGAGGAGAAAUUUUUGUUGCCACAAAUAGACUAGAAAUGCUUUUGAGUGUAUUAUUUGGCUGGAUUUUUGGACUCUUAAUUCUACUGGAAUAAGAUUCAUAAGCUUUCAGUCCCUGGUGAAUAACCCAUAAAUAUCUUGCAAAUUCUAAGAGGGCUCGGCAUGGGUGUUUUCCACAAGGUGUGAUGGCUGGUGUGACUCAGGACAGGUGCCUACACAUUUUUAGAUGAAACUCAGGCUGCCAUUCCCAGGGGCAUUCUCUCCAAGGAUGGACUCACGUCCAGGAGAGGCUGGAUCCUCUGACAAAUGAUGUCUUAUGGUUGAUGUAUCUGUUUCCAAUAAACCACGUUUUAUAGUCUGUCA